UCCUCCUUAACUCACUUUUGGUGAAUUAACUUUUUUCUUUAAUUUUUUCUGCUAAAUCUUCUCUUUUUCAAAUUUAUACAUUCCACUUCUCAGAAUAUUUACCUUUAAAGUUUUCACAAUUAACCUUAAUCUUUGUAUGUCUAUAUAUAACCUGUGUCUUUAAAUCUCCUUCUGAAUAACAAAGGACUUGAUUCUCUGUCCAUCCCCAACAUCUUAUGUUAUUACUGUUUAAUGUCUACACUUUUGUUAAAUCUCCAUAAUGAGAUGUUUUAAAUAUUACUUUACUUGCAUGUCUAUUUAUAAAAUUUCUCAUUGACCAUUAUUUUUUGGAUUAAAUUUUCUUCUUUCUGAACAACAUCAUUCAACUGUGGAAUGAGAGUAGUAAAUGCUUUUUUUUUUUUUGUAAGUCAGAUAUUAUCUUUAUUUUAUCACUAUUAAAUAAUUUAUCUGGGCAUAUUAUUCUAAGCUGACAAUUAUUUUUCCUCUGCACUUUGAAUAAAUCAUUUCAUUGUUUUAUGACAAGUCUUCUUAUAGAUGCAAAGAGUCCUGUUAUUCUAACUAUCCUUCUUUCUUAGAUGUUUACUUUUCUCUCUAAAACUUUAUAAAAUUUUCUUUUAUAUUGAUGUUCUAUAUUUUCACAGUCAUGUGACUUGUGUCAGUUUAUAUUUUUAUUUUAUUAUCUGUUCACUCUAUUCAAUGCUCCUUCACUUUAAACCUGGAAUAUUCUCACCACUACCAUUUUGACUAUUGCUUCUUUCUCAUUCUUUAUUUUCCCUCCUCUCGGUACCUGUAUUUAAUGUGUGUUGACUUUUCUCAAUGUGGCCUCCAUUUCUCUUAACUUCUAUUAUAUAUCUUCCACCUCCAUUUUUCGGCACUUAAUUCUCCAUAAUUUCCAUCAAUUAAUAUUCCAGUUUACCAUUUUUGUAUUUUUCUUGAUUAUGCAACCCACUUUUUAAUUAAAAUGGCUGCAGUUCCAAUUUUAGAAAGGCUACUGGUUAUUUUCAAAUACACAUACUUGUACAUGGUUCUGGACUUACCUUAUUUCUUUGAACAUUGUAAAUAUAUUUUACUGAUGUUCCUGGUUAUUUUAUCAUUUCUAGUUUUUAGAGCUUAUGUUGUUCCAUUUGUUGGGUCUUCUAGUCCUGUUGCACUUUGUUAGUCAAAUGGUUUGUACUUUUUGUGAGCUCAUUUUCAAUGGGAGUUGUUUUCCAUCAGAGUUCUGUUGGGAAGAAUACCAGUGUGAUGGUUGCAGGUGCCUCUGCCAGAGGUCUACUAAUUCCUCCUGCCCCAGAUGUUUUCAUGUUACUUUCUCAAUAUUGGGGUCCAUACCCCAUGAAUAAUGUGAAUCUGUAGUAACAAUAGCCUGGAGUUCUCAUUUCUCCUGGGUGAUAUUUUUCUCUGUGGCUCCAGAUGUACAGUAAGCUUUGUCACCAAUUCUCUGAGCCUAUGCACAGUUUUCUUCUUAGUACUUUUUUGGUGAGCAAGGCAGCCUUUUGUAAUUCCUGGUUUGGUGAAUGUAGCUCAAAUCUGAGACUGUGGCCUGACCUCCCUCUCGGGAGGGAGAGUCUUAAAACUUCAGUUGCCAACAGUUAAGGCCUACAUUUUAAUUGCUUUCUCUCAUGGCCCAUUUAAGCUUCAGUUCCUGCUCACUGAUCUGGCUUUGAGUUCUUCAUUUCUGACAGCUUGGGAUUUCCAUUUCUUGAUUAUUGAACCUGGGCUCAGUAUUUACAUUUUCACAUCUAGCUGACAUUCCUGUGUGUUGAAAUGAAAGGCCAGGAAGCUGUUUCACAUCAACUCCGUCAAACUCAUCCUAAAUUUCUAAACACAGUGUGAUCAUAUUGCUUUUAAUGGGUACCCAUUUGCUUGAAGAAUGAAGUCAACCUCUUUCUCUGGCUAUUUUUAAAACUCCACAUCCAGGUGGGAUUCUGGCUCCCAAAUAUCACCUGCAAUCAUAUCCCUAACUCCCACACCCCCUACUUCAGCAACAGCAACCCAGAGCUCAUUCCCCAAUAUUCCAUGUAGCAUCACAUCUUUCAGAAUGUCAUUGAAGGGUGGCUUCUAGGUCCAAUUUCUAUUUCUUAUAAUGAUGUUUUGUUACGUUCAUCAAGGCUGUGAACUUUCAAACUCUGUGAAUCUUCCAUUCCAGAAAAAUAUAAAUUGGGGUUUAAAAGCACAGCUGGGCUGUGUUUUUGUCAUUGAGGUCACUAAUGCCUUAAAGCUAAACAAAACCCAAGGGUGCCUGGGCGGCUCAGUCAGUUCAGUGUCUGCCUUCAGCUCAGGUCAUGAUUCCAGGGUCCUGGAAUCGAGCCCUGCAUUGGGCUCCCUGCUCAGGGCGGAGCGCACUUCUCCCCUUCCCUCUGCCCCCCUGCUUGUGCUCUCUCUCUCACUCUAUCUAAAAUAAAUAUAUAAAAUCUUGAAAAAGAAAACAAACCUAAACUAAACUAAACCCAACAGAACAGUGAGAGUGUCCAUUCAAAAGGCCAGGAAGGCUAUGAGGACAGGAGCAGCUGAUCUAGCUGAAAUGAGUUGCUGAGUUUCAUUCAGAUGCAAUUGUCCCAUGUAGACAGUACCUUGGAGUUCAUUAAGUUCUCAGGGCUGAGCUCCUGGCUCUCAGGGAACAUUCAUUCUUCCCUCCUUAGGAAGAGCAGCCUGCUGAGGAGAUAGCAGUUAUAUUUUGUGUGCUUCAUUAGAGCAAGGAAAUAUAGUUCACUGUGCCCAAACAAAUCCUGGACACUAAUGGGCCAAAAUAUUGUGAAUGUGGAGUUAGAAGUGCUAGGACAUCAGAGAACUGAAGAGGAAAAAAAAAAACACCUUAGGAACCAAAGAAAUUGCAUUUGUAAGCUUCAUUUAUAUACCACAUAGCAAGUGAAUCAAUAACUUGAAAAUGUACAGUGAAGGCCAAAAAGGAGUUGAUUGCAAUCUUCAAAGAGUUUGCAGAAAAAAAAAAAA
rnacentral:lncRNA from 1 species